rnacentral:rRNA from 1 species
GACGAACGCUGGCGGCGUGCUUAACACAUGCAAGUCGAACGGAAAGGCCCCUUUGGGGGUACUCGAGUGGCGAACGGGUGAGUAACACGUGAGUAACCUGCCCUUGACUUCGGGAUAACUUCAGGAAACUGGGGCUAAUACCGGAUAGGAAUCCUUGCUGCAUGGUGGGGGUUGGAAAGCUUCGGCGGUUUUGGAUGGACUCGCGGCUUAUCAGCUUGUUGGUGGGGUAGUGGCUUACCAAGGCUUUGACGGGUAGCCGGCCUGAGAGGGCGACCGGCCACAUUGGGACUGAGAUACGGCCCAGACUCCUACGGGAGGCAGCAGUGGGGAAUAUUGCACAAUGGGCGGAAGCCUGAUGCAGCAACGCCGCGUGCGGGAUGACAGCCUUCGGGUUGUAAACCGCUUUCAGCAGGGGCGAAGCUUGUGGUGACGGUACCUGCAGAAGAAGCACCGGCUAACUACGUG